AAUCAACGCUGGCGGCGUGCCUAACACAUGCAAGUCGAACGCGAAAGCCCCGCAAGGGGUAAGUAGAGUGGCAAACGGGUGAGUAACACGUGGGUGACCUGCCUUCGAGUGGGGGAUAACUUCCCGAAAGGGACGCUAAUACCGCAUGACAUCCUGCUUUUGAACAAGCGGAGCUCAAAGCUGGGGAUCGCAAGCCCUAGCGCUUGAAGUGGGGCCCGCGCCUGAUUAGCGAGUUGGUGAGGUAACGGCUCACCAAGGCGACGAUCAGUCUCCGGCCUGAGAGGGCGGACGAGCACACUGGGACGGAGACACGGCCCAGACUCCUACGGGAGGCAGCAGUGGGGAAUUGUUCGCAAUGGGGGAAAGCCUGACGAAGCAACGCCGCGUGGAGGACGAAGAUCUUCGGGUCGUAAACUCAUGUCGAGCGGGACGAACGCUUCGCGGAUGAAUAAUCCGCGGAAUUGACGGUACCGCUAAAGGAAGCCCCGGCUAACUCCGUG
rnacentral:rRNA from 1 species